ensembl:lncRNA
AGCCUCCUGGGUAUUCAGUCCCCUCUAUUGGAGCACCUGCUUUGCAGCCAGACAGACUUCAUGUGGGGCUUUGAAGAGUGGAAUUUCACAGUGUAAAAAAAUAUCAGUGUAAAACCCAUUCAUCAGCCUGCAGCAACAAAUAGGAAUUUGAAUGGACGCUUGGUCAAGGUCUUUGGCCACUGUAUCUGUUAAUGUCUGUACUUCUGAGAUAGCUGCUGAAAAUGGUCCUCAAGUUGAAAAAUAAGAAAAGGCUUAAAGCUACAUGUGGAGGAAAAAAUCAUUCUGAAGAAUGAAACUUGAGACUAUCCCUCAGCAUCUUUUAAAAAUUUACCGAUGAUAAUGUUGGCACUGUGCACAAUUGACCUGGAAGGUUGAAGGAUGAGAAACUGUUGUGCUGUUCCUAGUUUAUCCUUGGAAAAAUGUUCCCUUAUGACCUGCUUGUAUAAUUGAAUCUUUCUUGGACAGAGCUCUGAUCUUCCUUUCUUCAGAAGUAUAUACUUGAAAUUGAAAAUGAAAGCUUAUGCUUAGAUUUUGUAGAAAGAUUGGGGUUCUCUCUUUUUAUGACAUCUUUAAGGGAGGAUUACAAGAAAGCUGGGAAACCCAGCAAUUAAGUUGGUCUUAAUUGCUAUUUAUACUGCCUCCACAAAUGAUGACUUUAGCUGUAUUCCCACUUUAUAAAUGACGUAUGUAAUUGGGUUAAACAGAAUCACACACAACAUUUGUUGGUCAAUUACCUCUUAAAUUAUGUACAUUGUCUUCAUUUGGAAAUGUAGUCUUUCUUCCAUGCAUAAAACUCUUUUCUAAAUACAUACUCAAUAUUUAUCUGAAAUGAUUGCUUGUAUCUGUGCAUAGAAGGUAAAUUGAAUAGUUAUGCUGUUAAGUGUGUAUGUUUCUAUCAUCAGCAAGACGGCUGUAUUCCUGUGUUCGUAGGGUGUUCUCAGAAUAAUGGACAUAGGAAUUAAUGCGUGUGUUUUCUUAGACAACCAAAUGUGCUCAGUGUGUUCGUAUUUAUUAAAAGAGCAGAGAACAGAUGUUAUAAAGUUAGUAUUAUCCUAAGGCUCAUGUAUUUACAUUUACUUGAUUCCAGUAAGAAUGUUUGUCUACGAAAAUGCAUUCUUGCAUGACAACUUUAAAUAUGUGAAAUUUCAUUUUACAAAAAUAACUGAUCUUUACCAUGAAACAGUAACUAAAAGUGUUUAUGUUUUUAUCAUUGCUUUCUCAACAGAACAAGCUGGAAACUAAUC